rnacentral:lncRNA from 1 species
AUAUUCUUUACUUAAUGAAUCCAAUUUCUGAGAGAUAUGCUGCAUUGCUGCUAUGUGGUGGCAUGUUACAUCAUAUAUCAUUUUUUAGAAAAGUAAGAAAUAUAUAGACCUUACUAUUAGGAAUCAACUAGAGAACAGAUAUCUCUUGACAUUCAUGCUACCAUGUAGUACAACAUAUUCAUUUAGGCAGUAUCUGAACUAUGAAAUGUAGUUCUCCAAUAAGUAUGUGCGAAUUUGUGAUUUCCAUUUUGGUAGGCUUCAUACAAAUUUUACAUUAUCACUUCUUGUAGCCCUCAUUUCAAUUGCCUCUUAAAUGCAUAUACUAUAGGCCGUAUCACAUAUCUGAACUCAAGCAUCAUCCUCUUUCUAAAAAAAAAAUCAAUAUAAGAGAAUACUUAGAAUACCCUUAGUCUGGUGAUAAAAUGGAGUUCAGCUGAACAGGCACAAAGGGAGCCCUCAAGUGGAAGGCUAGGUUCAAUAUUGCUCUUGGAAUUGCUGAAGGACUGCUUUAUCUACAUGAAGGCUGCCAUCGACGCAUAAUUCACAGAGACAUCAAAGCAUCAAAUAUCCUUCUAACUGAAGAUUACCAACCUCAGGUAUGUAUUCUACUACCAGUCUCUUGCCGUAGUCCUAUCUGUUAUAUGAUUCCUAGGGUUCUUUUAAAUGCAACAGUUUUUACUCCCUCAUUGCACAGAUCUCAGAUUUUGGACUUGCAAAGUGGCUUCCUGACAAAUGGACUCAUCAUGUUGUGUUCCCCAUUGAAGGGACAUUCGGGUGAGUUCGAUAAGUUUUUUUCAGUUUCAUCACAAUGAUUUAAUCGUACCCAGAAAAAGAAACAAUGCCAUUGUUGGUUUUAACUUAGACUUUACACCCUUUCUUAGGUAUAUGUCUCCAGAGUAUUUCAUGCACGGGAUCAUAAAUGAGAAGACUGAUGUGUUUGCAUAUGGAGUUUUGCUUCUUGAACUAGUGACAGGACGGAAAGCCGUGGAUUCCUCCAGACAAAGCCUAGUAAUAUGGGUAAUAAAAGCAAAUCUCUAAUAUGCUCCAUUAUACAAAAAUUCAAAUCAGCUCAUUUUAUAUCAUUGUCUGGUCAUAUUGAGAGAGGCAAGUGAUGAUCAAAAGUUAAUUCUACAAUACUUGAAUGGAUAACAUGAACUGGUAUAAUCACAUACAUCUGAAGCCCUUGAAUUCACAAGCUGUUGUUUGUCAUGUGCAUAGGCAAAACCAUUGCUCGACUCGAACAACAUGAAGGAACUAGUGGAUCCUUCUCUUGAUGUUGGAUAUGAUCCAGAAGAAAUGGCUCACAUCCUAGCAGUGGCAUCCAUGUGCAUUCACCACAGCUCAAGCUCGCGGCCUAGCAUGAAAUCGGUGAGUGCGAUGAACACGCUAACUAUACGGCCAUUGUAAAGGCUAAAAAAGAAACAAUUUGGAUUGUAAACUGACCUGUUGGUUUGAUGCCUGUAGGUGGUCCGUUUCUUGAAGGGGGAUAGGGAAUCACUCGAAAUGAUGCAAAUGCAAAGACCAAAACUCAUGAAACCCCUCAUGUUCGACUCCGGCGAUUCAGAGGAUUAUACUCGCUCAAGUUACCUC